rnacentral:rRNA from 1 species
CCUGGCAAGGCUAAAUACUCCCGAGAGACCGAUAGUGAACCAGUACCGCGAGGGAAAGGUGAAAAGUACCCCGAGCAGGGGGGUGAAAUAGACCCUGAACCCGCGCGCCUACAAGCGGUCGGAGCCACGCGAUGUGGUGACGGCGUGCCUUUUGCAUAAUGAGCCUACGAGUUAGUCGUCACCAGCGAGGUUAAGGGCUUCAGGCCCGUCAGCCGAAGUGAAAGCGAGCCUUAACAGGGCGUAAAGUUGGUGGCGCUAGACGCGAAACCUUGUGAUCUACCCACGAGCAGGUUGAAGUCGCGGUAACGCGUGAUGGAGGACCGAACCGGUAAACGUUGAAAAGUUUUCGGAUGACUCGCGGGUAGGGGUGAAAGGCCAAUCAAACUGGGAAAUAGCUCGUACUCUCCGAAAUGCAUUUCGGUGCAGCCUGUGAUGUUCUGUUCCAGAGGUAGAGCUACUGGUUGGACGCGAGGGCUUCACCGCCUAUCAAAUCCGGAUAAACUCCGAAUGCUGGAACACGAAAUCAUGGAGUGAGCCCGCGGGUGCUAAGGUCCGCGGACGAGAGGGAAAGAACCCGGACCACCGGCUAAGGUCCCGGAUGGACAGUUAAGUUGAUCAAACGAGGUGGGAUCGCGGAGACAGCUAGGAUGUUGGCUUGGAAGCAGCCAUUCAUUUAAAGAGUGCGUAACAGCUCACUAGUCGAGCGAUCCCGCGUGGAUAAUACACGGGCAUCAAACUGUCAACCGAAGCCGUGGGGUUAGCUUUAUUGCUAACCGGUAGGAGAGCAUUCCUGCCAGCUUUGAAGGUCACCCGCGAGAGUGACUGGAGCGGCAUGAAAAGCAAAUGUAGGCAUAAGUAACGAUAAUGGGGGCGAGAACCCCCCACGCCGCAAGACCAAGGCUUCCCCGGCAAUGUCAAUCAGCCGGGGGUCAGCCGGCCUCUAAGGCUAACCCGAAGGGGGACGCCGACGAGAAACGGGUUAACAUUCCCGUGCUUCUCGUCACCGUGACGCGGUGACGGGGUGAUGAAUGGACCGCGCGCUGACGGAAUAGCGCGUUGAAGACCGUACCCUUUGACGGUGGUAGUCAAGCACGCCACCGGAGGCGAAAGUCGAUAGUACCUCGAGGCCUCGGCCGAGGGGAUAGCGUCCAGGCAAUUAACCCCCUAGAAAACCCGCUAAACUUCAAGUGACGAGGAACCGUACCGUAAACGGACACACGUGGUCGGGUAGAACAUACCAAGGCGCUCGAGUGAUUCAUGGUCAAGGAACUAGGCAAAAUAGUCCUGUAACUUAGGGAUAAAGGACGCUCUAGUGAUAGAGCCGCAGAGAAAUGGCCCAGGCGACUGUUUACCAAAAACACAUGGCUAUGCCAAAUCGAAAGAUGACGUAUAUGGCCUGACACCUGCCCGGUGCCGGAAGGUUAAGAGGAGAGCUCAUCAGUAAUGAGAAGGUUUGAAUUGAAGCCCCGGUAAACGGCGGCCGUAACUAUAACGGUCCUAAGGUAGCGAAAUUCCUUGUCGGGUAAGUUCCGACCUGCACGAAUGGUGUAACGAUCUGGGCACUGUCUCGACCAUGAGCUCGGUGAAAUUGUAGUUCCGGUGAAGAUGCCGGGUACCCGCGACGGGACGGAAAGACCCCGUGAACCUUUACUGCAGCUUCGCGUUGUUCCCGGGCACGGGACGUGUAGGAUAGGUCGGAGGCUACGAUUCGGUUUCGCCAGGAAUCGAGGAGCCAUCGUUGAAAUACGACCCUUCUCUUGUCUGGGAUCUAACCCUAGGUACAGGGGACACCGCGUGGUGGGUAGUUUGACUGGGGUGGUCGCCUCCAAAAGCGUAACGGAGGCUUCCAAAGGUACCCUCGGGUUGGUUGGUAAUCAACCUCAGAGUGCAAUGGCACAAGGGUGCUUGACCGGGAGACCAACGAGUCGAUCGGGUGCGAAAGCAGGGCAUAGUGAUCCGGUGAUCCCGCGUGGAAGGGUCAUCGCUCAAAGGAUAAAAGGUACUCCGGGGAUAACAGGCUGAUCGCCCCCAAGAGCUCAUAUCGACGGGGCGGUUUGGCACCUCGAUGUCGGCUCGUCACAUCCUGGGGCUGGAGAAGGUCCC